GUCCAGCUGACGAGUCCCACAUAAGACGAAACGCGCGUCCUGGAU
rnacentral:hammerhead_ribozyme from 1 species